CCUUCUAGAAACUAAGUUCCAUGGGCGCAGGAACUCUCCUUUAUUGGUUGCCCUGUCAUUGGUACCGAGAAAGAUGCUUGCCACAUACCCAUACAUGUCUGUUGAAUAAAUCAGCUCUGGGAAAGACCCUCAGAUUUUCCAUGCCCUGAAGAGUUAGUUUCCCAAAGUCAAGGUCCUCUUGCCAGAGAGGCCACAGUGACUUUCCUCUGGCCUGCAGACACCAUGCUGCUCUCAGAUGCAUUCCAUAGCCAUCUCUCAUCACAGGUGGAAGAGCUUCUGGCCAAUUGAAAGACAAUGGCUUGUGUGAGAUGAGCACCCCUCCUCCUCCCCAGGGAUUUAAAAAAGUAACAGUAAUAAUAUUAAGGCAGUGGAAGAACAUGGGGUAUGGAUUCACUUAGACCCAGGUUCAGUCCUGGCUCCCCGCCACUCACCAGCUGUGCAGCCUUGGCACUGUACUGAGCCCUCUGGAAGCAUCACAUCACCUAAUCCUCCACUACAAUCUGAUAAAAUACAUACAGCUACUCAUUCCCAUUUUACAAACAUAGAAACAGAGUUAGAUGGGUUAUGUAAUUUUUAAGGUCUAACACUUGGAAAAUAGAGUUGAGAUUGGCCUCAGGUAGCCUGACCCCAGUGCUCUGCUCUCAAGUUAAUUUGUAAGCUUCUGAGCUCUGGCUGGUAAGCAUUCUGAAUGAGAUCCUUGAGUCUGAGUGUGUUACUCUGCUCUUAUGUGUGUUGCUUUGAGCAUAUGUGCUGUCAUGCUCUCCUUUGAGCUUGAAAGCGUUAGAUGGCCUUCUCCCAGUUGUUAGUGUUAAGAUGGGCCAGAACAGGCCACUGCUUUGUGCGACUCCAGGGGGCGCUAUUCGCAUUGCAGUCUAUGCACGGGCCCUGGCCAUUCUGUGUGUGUGCGCGCGCGCGCGCGCGCGCGUGUGUGUGUCUCUCUCUCUCUCUCUCUCUCUCUCUCUCUCUCUCUCUCUCUCUGCUGGGGGCGGGGUUGUGGUGGGUAUCAGAUUUCUGAUAACCUCUCUGAAAGUUGGAAGUCUACACAUGUGUAUUCUUAAUAGCAUAUGAACUUCAGAAAAAACGGUAUGGUAUUAUUUUAAAACAUAGCCUUUAAGGUCAGACACCUGGAAUCAAAUUCUAGUUCUAUUCCCUAUGAUGUAAAUGUCCUCGGGUGGGUUGCUUAAAGCUUGUUGCUUCAUAAAUAGAAUGGGGAAUAGUUCCUCCUGGAGUUGUGCCCGUUGAGACGAUCAUUACUGAGACUGGCACUUUGCAUGUGAUCAAUAAAU